rnacentral:rRNA from 1 species
UACGAAGGUGGCAAGCGUUGUUCGGAUUUACUGGGCGUACAGGGGGCGUAGGCGGUUGGAUAAGCCCUCUGUGAAAUCUCCAGGCUUAACCUGGAAAGUGCAGAGGGGACUGUUCAGCUAGAGGAUGGGAGAGGAGGGCGGAAUUCCCGGUGUAGCGGUGAAAUGCGUAGAGAUCGGGAGGAAGGCCGGUGGCGAAGGCGGGUCUCUGGGCCGAUACUGACGCUGAGGAGCGAAAGCGUGGGGAGCAAACAGG